rnacentral:rRNA from 1 species
UACGUAGGGGGCUAGCGUUGUCCGGAAUCAUUGGGCGUAAAGAGCGCGUAGGCGGCUAGAUAAGUCCGGUGUGAAAGUCACAGGCUCAACCUGUGAAUGCCGCUGGAAACUGUCUGGCUAGAGUCUGGAAGGGGCGAGUGGAAUUCCUGGUGUAGCGGUGAAAUGCGCAGAUAUCAGGAGGAACACCAAUGGCGAAGGCAGCUCGCUGGGACGGUACUGACGCUGAGACGCGAAAGCGUGGGGAGCGAACAGG